rnacentral:rRNA from 1 species
AACAGGAUUAGAUACCCUGGUAGUCCACGCCCUAAACGAUGUCUACUAGUUGUUGGUGGAGUAAAAUCCAUGAGUAACGCAGCUAACGCGUGAAGUAGACCGCCUGGGGAGUACGGUCGCAAGAUUAAAACUCAAAUGAAUUGACGGGGGCCCGCACAAGCGGUGGAUUAUGUGGAUUAAUUCGAUGCAACGCGAAAAACCUUACCUGGCCUUGACAUGUAACGAACUUUCCAGAGAUGGAUUGGUGCUCGAAAGAGAACGUUAACACAGGUGCUGCAUGGCUGUCGUCAGCCCGUGUCGUGAGAUGUUGGGUUAAGUCCCGCAACGAGCGCAACCCUUGCCAAUAAUUGCCAUCAUUUAGUUGGGCACUUUAUUGGGACUGCCGAUGACAAAUCGGAGGAAGGUGGGGAUGACGUCAAGUCCUCAUGGCCCUUAUGGCCAGGGCUUCACACGUAAUACAAUGGUCGGUACAGAGGGUUGCCAAGCCGCAAGGUGGAGCCAAUCCCAGAAAGCCGAUCGUAGUCCGGAUUGAGGUCUGCAACUCGACCUCAUGAAGUCGGAAUCGCUAGUAAUCGCGGAUCAGCAUGUCGCGGUGAAUACGUUCCCGGGCCUUGUACACACCGCCCGUCACACCAUGGGAGUGGGUUUUACCAGAAGUAGGUAGUCUAACCGCAAGGAGGACGCUUACCACGGUAGUAUUCAUGACUGGGGUGAAGUCGUAACAAGGUAACC